UACAGAGGUCUCAAGCGUUUGUUCGGAUUCAUUGGGCGUAAAGGGCGCGUAGGCGGCUUUGCAAGUGGCGGGUGAAAUCCCUCGGCUUAACCGAGGAACUGCCUGUCAAACUGCAUGACUUGAGACCAGGAGAGGUGAGUGGAAUUCCCAGUGUAGCGGUGAAAUGCGUAGAUAUUGGGAGGAACACCAGUGGCGAAGGCGGCUCACUGGACUGGUACUGACGCUGAUGCGCGAAAGCGUGGGGAGCAAACAGG
rnacentral:rRNA from 1 species